GACGAACACUGGCGGCGUGCUUAACACAUGCAAGUCGAGCGGUAAGGCCCUUUCGGGGGUACACGAGCGGCGAACGGGUGAGUAACACGUGGGUGACCUGCCCUCAGCUCUGGGAUAAGCCUGGGAAACCGGGUCUAAUACUGGAUAUGACUCCAUGACGCAUGUUGUGGGGUGGAAAGCCUUGUGCGGCUGAGGAUGGGCCCGCGGCCUAUCAGCUUGUUGGUGGGGUGANGGCCUACCAAGGCGACGACGGGUAGCCGGCCUGAGAGGGCGACCGGCCACACUGGGACUGAGACACGGCCCAGACUCCUACGGGAGGCAGCAGUGGGGAAUCUUGCGCAAUGGGCGAAAGCCUGACGCAGCGACGCCGCGUGAGGGAUGACGGCCUCGGUU
rnacentral:rRNA from 1 species